rnacentral:rRNA from 1 species
AACGCACCUUGCGCUCUCUGGUAUUCCGGAGAGCAUGCCUGUUUGAGUGUCAUGAACUCUUCAACCCACCGGUUCCUUGUUGAACUGCUGUGGUGUUUGGAUUUUGAACGCUGCUAUGUAAUUAGCUCGCUCGUAAUACAUUAGCAUCUCAAUUUCGUAAUCGGAUUGACUCAGCGUAAUAGACUAUUCGCUGAGGACACUUUUUCAGAGUGGCCGAGACAUGAAAAGUUAGAAGCUUCAAACCCAUCUAGUCAUUCUUAAGAUUAGACCUCAGAUCAGGCAGGAUUACCCGCUGAACUUAA